CAGAGGAAGGUGCAGUGAGGAAUAAUGAAGCUCAAAAAGAAGUACUGAAUUACGAACUUGCCUUGCCCUUCCUUUCCCUAUCCGCACCAGCUGGCUGCCACCUGAUGUGACCUUCCUUCUCGUCCUCUGCUGAUGUCCAGCUUCACCGUGGAGCAGCAUUGUCGACAAGAAAAGGGUACCCAAGGAGCCUUCCACAGAUGCAAAGAAAAACAUUUCAGAAAGUGCAAGAACAAAACGGGAAAGAAAAUACUAAAUGUAAGCUGUUAUGUGCAAGCUGUUCGUACACAUACAGAGUUGAAAAGUCUAUUUUUGUAGAACUACUGCAAUGAGUUUAUUAGCUUUAUGAAGUGGUUUUUUUAAGCUUUGUGUGAUGACCAUUGCAUCUGUUUUUAUCUUUAAACUGCCAGUAAUAUUGUUCUGUUUGAUAUGCUGUCAUAUUACAAAUGUUCCUAAUCAUCUCUUCGGAGGGAAUUUUAACUCAGUCUGCUUCAGCUAUUAAAAUGAGGGUUCAAAAAGAAGCAUCAAGGCCAGGGUUCGUUUAAAAAAAAUAUGCCUGCCCAUAUGGCAUAUUUAGUAAUAUAUAUAUAUAUAGUUAUGACUGGUGGAGCAAUAGAUGUUUAAACUUAAGUAUACUUAGCUAAAACAAUCCCUUUUGUGUUGUGAAAAACACUGUUCUUCUAAAACUGUCUUGCAUUGGUG
rnacentral:lncRNA from 1 species